AGAGAGCGCUGAGCUCAUUGGACGGCCUCUCGGCGCGUCUAUAAAAGGGACGCGGAGGCCGCGCAGUGUGAUCUGACUUGAGCACUGAGUUGCACCUUACAACCUCCACGUUCUGAGCUGCAGUAGCACUGAUGAAAGAGAGAGGCAGAGCUUGUGGCAACGUGAGAUUUCAGAUCCCGGGCUGCAGAGGUCCUCCGUCUGCUUCCUUCCCCUGGACCUGCUCAACAGCAUCACAACGACCCACGGAUGCAAGGAAGCUAAAAGGAAAAACCACUUUCCUAAGCUCACUCAAAGAAUGAGUGGCAAAACCAGCAACAGUUGACUCGUCGAUGCCUGAGGUGACUCAGAUUCCCUAUGUUAGCCACUUCUGUAAGGAGAAUUCCUUCCAAGAUUCCACUUACUUGUCAGAAAGAGAGAG